rnacentral:rRNA from 1 species
UACGUAGGGUCCGAGCGUUGUCCGGAGUUACUGGGCGUAAAGGGCUCGUAGGCGGCCAACUAAGUCAGACGUGAAAUCCCUCGGCUUAACCGGGGAACUGCGUCUGAUACUGGAUGGCUUGAAUCCGGGAGAGGGAUGCGGAAUUCCAGGUGUAGCGGUGAAAUGCGUAGAUAUCUGGAGGAACACCGGUGGCGAAGGCGGCAUCCUGGACCGGCAUUGACGCUGAGGAGCGAAAGCCAGGGGAGCAAACGGG